GCUGAAGAACACUUAUAGCACAACUCAGCACCCAGCAGAACCCGAACCACAGAGUGAGGAGAAAUAUUGGUUAAGGUUUGGCCACAACCAGACUGACAGUGAAGAAGAAUCAACAUUUAAAACCAAGAUGUGCUUGUCACUGAUAAUAACUGUCUUGAUUGUUGUGUUUGUAUUUAUCAUGUUAUUCUGGCAGAACAUUAUCACUCUCAGUAUCCUCAGAACAGGCGGUCACUUGAUCAUUAACACUGAUUUACAUAAAUCAGGAAAAAGAGUUUCAGAUGUAGUCAUCUCAGCAUUAGAUGAUCCUAAAAUAUCAGGAGCGUUAACAUUGGCUGUCACUGUGUUUUUCAUUUUGUCAAGCCCUCUAACUACGACUCUGUUGGUCAUUCUUAAUGCAACACUUUGGUUGCAUUGGCUCAACAUCCUCCCACUGAAAGAAUUAAUCGCAUUAACCUCAGACUUUUAUCAGUCGGUUACCACAGGACCAAAUCUCACCUGCACUGAUUCAUCGGCAGUUGAUACACAGCUGGCUGAUUUCCUUGAAGGAAGAAGAACUGUUAUCCAGUGUUAUGCACCUGUGCUGUUUCUUCUGUUUCCUGCCCUGAUGUUUAGUGUUUUGGUCCGGCUAUCUGCAUUCCAUGCUCCUCUCGGCUCUGUUAAUUAGCGGUGGCAGCAGCACCUGCGCCUGAUUACAUGCAUUGUGUUCACCUGUGAUCCUGCCAAUAAAUACCUGCCUCUCACAGCUAGUCUCUGCCAUAUUUUUGAAAGCCAUCGUCUGAGUAGACCAUUUAGGUAUUCUUUGAUUACCUACCUGUUCCUGACCCAAUCCCAUUCUGUGGAUUAUCCCUGUUUUACCUGUGUUGGACUCUCCUGUUGGCCCUGGAUUCUGGACACCGACUUAUCGAUCUGCCUUGUGACCAAGCCGCUCUCCCCAGCCCUCUGAUUACCUCUGCCAGUCUCUGUCUCCUGUGU